GAUGAACGCUGGCGGCGUGCUUAACACAUGCAAGUCGAACGAAGCACUUUAUUUGAUUUCCUUCGGGACUGAUUAUUUUGUGACUGAGUGGCGGACGGGUGAGUAACGCGUGGGUAACCUGCCUUGUACAGGGGGAUAACAGUUGGAAACGGCUGCUAAUACCGCAUAAGCGCACGGCAUCGCAUGAUGCAGUGUGAAAAACUCCGGUGGUAUAAGAUGGACCCGCGUUGGAUUAGCUAGUUGGUGAGGUAACGGCCCACCAAGGCGACGAUCCAUAGCCGACCAGAGAGGGUGACCGGCCACAUUGGGACUGAGACACGGCCCAAACUCCUACGGGAGGCAGCAGUGGGGAAUAUUGCACAAUGGGCGAAAGCCUGAUGCAGCGACGCCGCGUGAGCGAAGAAGUAUUUCGGUAUGUAAAGCUCUAUCAGCAGGGAAGAUAAUGACGGUACCUGACUAAGAAGCACCGGCUAAAUACGUA
rnacentral:rRNA from 1 species